rnacentral:rRNA from 1 species
GGCACGCCUAACACAUGCAAGUCGAACGAAGUAGCAAUACUUAGUGGCAGACGGGUGAGUAACAUGUAGGUAUCUGCCCUUUGGCCUGGAAUAACACGAGGAAACUUGUGCUAAUACCGGAUAAGUCUUUACGGAGAAAGCUUUAUGCACCAUUGGAUGAGCCUGCACUUGAUUAGUUUGUUGGUGGGGUAAUGGCCUACCAAGACUGUGAUCAAUAGCUGAUUUGAGAGGAUGAUCAGCCACAUUGGGACUGAGACACGGCCCAAACUCCUACGGGAGGCAGCAGUGGGGAAUCUUGCACAAUGGAGGAAACUCUGAUGCAGCGAUGCCGCGUGAGUGAAGAAGGCCUUUGGGUUGUAAAGCUCUUUCGUCGGGGAAGAAAAUGACUGUACCCGAAUAAGAAGGUCCGGCUAACUUCGUGCCAGCAGCCGCGGUAAUACGAAGGGACCUAGCGUAGUUCGGAAUUACUGGGCUUAAAGAGUUCGUAGGUGGUUGAAAAAGUUGGUGGUGAAAUCCCAGAGCUUAACUCUGGAACUGCCAUCAAAACUUUUCAGCUAGAGUAUGAUAGAGGAAAGCAGAAUUUCUAGUGUAGAGGUGAAAUUCGUAGAUAUUAGAAAGAAUACCAAUUGCGAAGGCAGCUUUCUGGAUCAUUACUGACACUGAGGAACGAAAGCAUGGGUAGCGAAGAGGAUUAGAUACCCUCGUAGUCCAUGCCGUAAACGAUGUGUGUUAGACGUUGGAAAUUUAUUUUCAGUGUCGCAGCGAAAGCGAUAAACACACCGCCUGGGGAGUACGACCGC